rnacentral:tRNA from 1 species
GCCCUUGUAGCUCAAUGGCAAGAGCCUCAGGUGUGCCGGUCCAAAUCCGGCCAAGGGCA